rnacentral:lncRNA from 1 species
UUAGCAUUCAUCAAUACAAAACCUAACUUUAUUCAACGUGACCUAAUUCACCCAAUUGCUAAAUCCACUCGAUUAUAAUAUGUAUGUCGGAAAUUCUUACAACAGUUGAAACUUGUAACAAGCUAGAAAUGAUAUAGUCUCCAAUCUCCAAGCUUUAGAUGUCGUGGUGAUCAAUGCACUAAUGCAGAUGGACCUUGACUGUGGUGUGAGCUUCAAUUGACUAACCACUCUGAAUAUCGCUGUGGAAGUUGAAUGAGUCUUGUGUUGUAAUUUUGAUUGGAGCUAGCUUGCUCCCAUGUGCUCUCUGGUUGUGGCGAUGCUCCUCGAUAAAAAUAAACCCCCUCUAGCCUUAGCUCGGGCUCCGGCCUGAUCUUCUGGCUGUUGUUAGCAGAAGGACUUGAAACCGCCUUGGUAUGAUCGGUAGAGAUUAAUUCCCAGCGUACACAUGGCGGAGCUUGGAAUUGCGCUGGCAACACAGUUAAGCAACCUCCACGGCCCUCACUGUUUACAACUUGUCCGGUUCUGAUCUAUACUCCUAUUCAUUAGAACCGAAUCUACUAAAUCUGACUAAAAUAUGCAAUUUAUGAUUUUCAGCGGAAGCAAGGAUGCCUCUGCUAACCGCGAGCUAUAUGUACGCACGGUGAUGGUGAUGGACAAUGCAACUCGAGGAUAGAUGGUCCACUCUUGACCAGCGGUUCAGUGCAUUGACAACGAGUUUGGAGUAGCUUAUUACAAGAACUAGAGAGUCACAAAAUUCAACCGAACUCCACUUGAUUAGCUACUAAUCCGUGGUGGUAUACACAUGCCAGGACAAAGAGGGAUGCAAAGCGCCACUCAACCCUCUAACUGCGCUUGCAUUGCUAUGGGUAUUAGGUGAGUGAUUCCUUAGUAAACUCAACUCAAAUGGUCAUUUGCUGCACCAAUGUACAAUUGCAAUCGUGCCUGCAUCCACAACAGAAUGACAAUUUACUCUGAUCACGCCGACGCUUCCAAAGGAACCAGCUAAACUAUUGACAAUGCGAGGAAAUCCACUUAAACAAGUCCUUGACAGUUCCCCGCAUGUAGCCACGAGCUCAAAGAGUUUUCUCUACUUCAAAACAUCCAACACACGGCCUAUAAACUUGAUGCAAUUGCAACGAGUGGCUGCAGACCUCAAAUUGCAAUGAGUCCAGAAUUCAAUGAAGGCAACCGAUCGAGAAUCCAGUGUGCAUGUGACGUAUUGAGCAAGGACUGAAUUUGGUGUUGAUCCAGCUGCCACCUGGUUGCCGAACCAUAAGCCUCGUUGCAAUGCCAUAGACACAAGAGAGAAGAAAAAACAACAAAAUUAAAUUUUGUCGAUUACUACUAGUAGUCAACAACAACUAGUACAAGGGAUUGCAUUGCACCACAGCGAAGAGCUCUAAACGAGCUGCCGUAACUAUAUGAGAAUCCACCAAUCUUCCACAACAAGACAAAAUCAACUGCACAACUCGAUAACUGACGGUAGCACAGCACUGCGUUGAUAAACACUUGAGACCAGCCAAGAUGAUG